CCCUUAGAUGUUCUGGGCUGCACACGUGCUACACUGGCAGGUUCAGCGAGCUUCAUGCCCUGAUCUGAAAGGAAUGGGAAAUCUUUUCAAAACCUGCCGUGCUUGGGAUAGAUGUUUGCAAUUAUUCAUCUUCAACGAGGAUUGCCUUGUAAGCGCACGUCAUCAGCGUGCAUUGAAUACGACCCUGUAUUCUGUACACACCGCCCGUCGCUCCUACCGAUUGAAGUUUUCGGUGAGUUGACAGGAGGAUUUUUUUGAAACUGGUUGCCAGUGGAUUUUAGAUCCAAAUGCCAACGAAUCGAUGGCUUUAGAGGAAGGAGAAGUCGUAACA
rnacentral:rRNA from 1 species